rnacentral:rRNA from 1 species
CGGACAUCAGGAGGUUAGUGCAAUGGCAUAAGCCAGCUUGACUGCGAGCGUGACGGCGCGAGCAGGUGCGAAAGCAGGUCAUAGUGAUCCGGUGGUUCUGAAUGGAAGGGCCAUCGCUCAACGGAUAAAAGGUACUCCGGGGAUAACAGGCUGAUACCGCCCAAGAGUUCAUAUCGACGGCGGUGUUUGGCACCUCGAUGUCGGCUCAUCACAUCCUGGGGCUGAAGUAGGUCCCAAGGGUAUGGCUGUUCGCCAUUUAAAGUGGUACGCGAGCUGGGUUUAGAACGUCGUGAGACAGUUCGGUCCCUAUCUGCCGUGGGCGCUGGAGAACUGAGGGGGGCUGCUCCUAGUACGAGAGGACCGGAGUGGACGCAUCACUGGUGUUCGGGUUGUCAUGCCAAUGGCACUGCCCGGUAGCUAAAUGCGGAAGAGAUAAGUGCUGAAAGCAUCUAAGCACGAAACUUGCCCCGAGAUGAGUUCUCCCUGACUCCUUGAGAGUCCUGAAGGAACGUUGAAGACGACGACGUUGAU